rnacentral:rRNA from 1 species
AACGAACGCUGGCGGCAGGCUUAACACAUGCAAGUCGAACGGGUGUAGCAAUACAUCAGUGGCAGACGGGUGAGUAACACGUGGAAACCUUCCUAGGGGUACGGAACAACUCAGGGAAACUUGAGCUAAUACCGUAUACGUCCGUGAGGAGAAAGAUUUAUCGCCCUUAGACGGGCCCGCGUCGGAUUAGGUAGUGGGUGGGGUAACGGCCUACCAAGCCUACGAUCCGUAGCUGAUCUUAGAGGAUGAUCAGCCACACUGGGACUGAGACACGGCCCAGACUCCUCCGGGAGGCAGCAGUGGGGAAUGUUGGACAAUGGGCGCAAGCCUGAUCCAGCCAUGCCGCGUGAGUGAAGAAGGCCUUAGGGUUGUAAAGCUCUUUUACCAGGGACGAUAAUGACGGUACCUGGAGAAUAAGCCCCGGCAAACUUCGUGCCAGCCGCCGCCGUAACAC